GUAGGUGAACCUGCGGAAGGAUCAUUAUUGAAGUUGAUUCGGGUUGUCGCUGGCUCUCAGGAGCAUGUGCACGCUCGUUCAUAUUCAUUCUCUCUUGUGCACCUUUAGCUAGACUAUGAAUACCUCUCGAGUGAAAAUCUCGGAUUGAGGGCUGCACCUAACCGUGCUUCCCUUGCAUUUUCAUAGUCUAUGUCUUCAUAUACCC
rnacentral:misc_RNA from 1 species